UCACUUCAGCAGCACAUACACUAAAAUUGGAACGGUACAGAGAUCGUUAGCAUGGUCCCUGUGCAAGAAUGAUGUGCAAAUUUUUGAAGUGUUCCAUAUCUUU